AGGGUUUGAUCAUGGCUCAGAACGAACGCUGGCGGCACGCCUAACACAUGCAAGUCGAGCGCACCUUCGGGUGAGCGGCGGACGGGUUAGUAACGCGUGGGAACAUACCCUACACUAAGGAAUAGCCUUUGGAAACGAAGAGUAAUACCUUAUACGCCCUUCGGGGGAAAGAUUUAUCGGUGAAGGAUUGGCCCGCGUUAGAUUAGAUAGUUGGUGGGGUAAUGGCCUACCAAGUCUACGAUCUAUAGCUGGUUUGAGAGGAUGAUCAGCAACACUGGGACUGAGACACGGCCCAGACUCCUACGGGAGGCAGCAGUGGGGAAUCUUAGACAAUGGGCGCAAGCCUGAUCUAGCGAUGCCGCGUGAGUGACGAAGGCCCUAGGGUCGUAAAGCUCUUUCGCCAGGGAUGAUAAUGACAGUACCUGGUAAAGAAACCCCGGCUAACUCCGUGCCAGCAGCCGCGGUAAUACGGAGGGGGUUAGCGUUGUUCGGAAUUACUGGGCGUAAAGCGUACGUAGGCGGACUAGUCAGUCAGAGGUGAAAUCCCAGGGCUCAACCCUGGAACUGCCUUUGAUACUGCUAGUCUUGAGUUCGAGGGAGGUGAGUGGAAUUCCAAGUGUAGAGGUGAAAUUCGUAGAUAUUUGGAGGAACACCAGUGGCGAAGGCGGCUCACUGGCUCGAUACUGACGCUGAGGUACGAAAGUGUGGGGAGCAAACAGGAUUAGAUACCCUGGUAGUCCACACCGUAGACGAUGAAU
rnacentral:rRNA from 1 species